UACGUAGGGGGCAAGCGUUGUCCGGAGUACUGGGCGUAAAGCGUGCGCAGGCGGUUUUGUAAGUCUGUCGUGAAAUCCCCGGGCUCAACCUGGGAAUUGCGAUGGAGACUGCAAGGCUAGAAUCUGGCAGAGGGGGGUAGAAUUCCACGUGUAGCAGUGAAAUGCGUAGAGAUGUGGAGGAACACCGAUGGCGAAGGCAGCCCCCUGGGUCAACACUGACGCUCAGGCACGAAAGCGUGGGGAGCAAACAGG
rnacentral:rRNA from 1 species